rnacentral:rRNA from 1 species
AGCGAACGCUGGCGGCAGGCUUAACACAUGCAAGUCGAGCGGGCAUCCUUGUGGUGUCAGCGGCAGACGGGUGAGUAACGCGUGGGAACGUGCCCUUCGGUUCGGAAUAACUCAGGGAAACUUGAGCUAAUACCGGAUACGUGCGAGAGCAGAAAGGUUUAUCUGCCGAAGGAUCGGCCCGCGUCUGAUUAGCUAGUUGGUGAGGUUACGGCUCACCAAGGCGACGAUCAGUAGCUGGUCUGAGAGGAUGAUCAGCCACACUGGGACUGAGACACGGCCCAGACUACUACGGGAGGCAGCAGUGGGGAAUAUUGGACAAUGGGGGCAACCCUGAUCCAGCCAUGCCGCGUGAGUGAUGACGGCCUUAGGGUUGUAAAGCUCUUUUCUCCGGGACGAUAAUGACGGUACCGGAGGAAUAAGCCCCGGCUAACUUCGUG